rnacentral:rRNA from 1 species
AGAGCGAACGCUGGCGGCAGGCUUAACACAUGCAAGUCGAGCGGGCGUAGCAAUACGUCAGCGGCAGACGGGUGAGUAACGCGUGGGAACGUACCUUUUGGUUCGGAACAACACAGGGAAACUUGUGCUAAUACCGGAUAAGCCCUUACGGGGAAAGAUUUAUCGCCGAAAGAUCGGCCCGCGUCUGAUUAGCUAGUUGGUGAGGUAACGGCUCACCAAGGCGACGAUCAGUAGCUGGUCUGAGAGGAUGAUCAGCCACAUUAGGACUGAGACACGGCCCAAACUCCUACGGGAGGCAGCAGUGGGGAAUAUUGGACAAUGGGCGCAAGCCUGAUCCAGCCAUGCCGCGUGAGUGAUGAAGGCCCUAGGGUUGUAAAGCUCUUUUGUGCGGGAAGAUAAUGACGGUACCGCAAGAAUAAGCCCCGGCUAACUUCGUGCCAGCAGCCGC